ACCAGUGUAAGAUUGACAAGGAUUGUGUACACAUUUGUAGAUAGAAAAUUUGAGCAAUACAUGGUAAGUAAAGCACGUAAGGAAAUUAAACUGUCCAUGGAGAAAGUUUGCUUAAUUCGUGCAGUGAACGUGAUAUGUGCUAAUCUUGCGCUAGAGUUUAGGCAUGUGACUCGUGAUAAACUCUUUCAAGUUGGAAUAUGAAGGUCCAUAAUGCCCAAAUUGGAGUGGAAAAGGUAAAACAAUUCAUGUCCCAAGGGUUUAGUAAAAAUAUCCGCUUGUCUUUCAGAGGUUGAGAUAUAAGGAGUAAGUAGACCAUAAUGAAUCUUCUCGCAUGACGAGAUGACAAUAGAAUUCCAUGUGUGGGAAAAGAUGGAUUUCGAGCUAUGUGAAUGGCUGUCUGGUUGAUAAAUUGAAGAAGAUAGGCUAACGAUGGAGAACCAUGAGAGCUUGCAAGAGAAGAGAAACCUAAAAAAGUUCCCAAGUUGUAGCGUCCAUCGCACACUAUUCAGCUUCAUCCGAAGAGCAGGGAUAGUAGCUUUCUUCUAUGAGCGCCACGACAACUGCAUUUAGAUAAAAAGAGAAGACCAUAACCAGAAGUGGUCUUCAAAUAGCAAAGCAUACAAAGAGCAGCUAGAUGAUGAGGCUCAUAAGGAGCAUGCGCGAACUGACUUAAAAUAUUGACAACAAAGGUUAUAUGUGGCUGGAAAAUGGUUAAAUAGAUCAAACCCUAACUAAUCGUCGAUAUGAGCUGGGAUCUUCCUUCCAUGAAGUCACCAUCCAAGUUAUUAAGUUUACAGUGUUAUUCCAUGGGAAAGUAUGCAAAAUGAUAGCCUAGUUGACCAGAAUCAAAGAGACUGCCCAAUAAAAAAGUUGUCGGUAGGAAACCUAGCAACCUCAAUCCCAAGAAAAUACUUGAGGUCAGCAAGGUCUUUAAUCUUGAAGGCCUUUACAAGUGUUGUUUGAUGGAAUUGAUGGCAGAUAGGUCAUUCCCAGAAACCAAAAUGUCAACAUAGAUAAGGAUGAUAAUAAAUACCUUGCUCUAGAUUUUGAUCACAAGACUAUGAUCAGCUAAGGAUUGGCCAGAACCUGCAAGAGUGAGGACCAUAAGAUGGUUUCAAGUAACAUUGGUGAGGUUUGCUUAAGGCCACAUAGAGAUUUGUGGAUACGACAUACACGCAUCUCUCCCUUAACAACAAUAUCUUGAUAUCUUGGUGGAGUUGCAUAUAUACUUCUUCAUCAAGGUCACCAUGGACGAAAGCAUUGUAAACGUUCAACUGCUGAAUAAUCUAAUGUUUGUCUACAAUUGUAGCAAGAAGACAACAAAUAAUAACAAGUUUAGACACGAGCAAACGUACCGUGAUAAUCAGGGCUCUCUACAAGAGUAAAAUCAUUGGCAACUAAACAAACUUUAUUGCGUUCAAUGGAACCAUAUGCAUGCAAUUUUAUUUUGUAGAUCCAUUUACAACCAAUAGCCUCUUACCAGGAGAAAGAGUUUCAAGAGUACAAGUAUGAUUAACCUAUACAACUUGUAUUUUGGAAGUCAUCGCCUCUUGCUAAUGAGGCUCAAAGACAGCUCGAGAGUAGAUGAAGGACCUUGAACAUUUUUGGAGAAGUACGAGAGAAAAGCAAAGUGAUUAUGACUAAAGAAACAAUAAGAUAUAAAAUUGGGUAAAGAAUAAACCAUACCUGAGAAGGGCUCUGGACAAGGUGGUGAAUGUGAGUCCUCCAAAGGUAAGUUUAAGCAAAUAUAAUCCUAAAGAUAUGUGGGACGAUUGACAGUGCAACAAGGUCUUGAUAGUGGGGUAGGAAUAUAAUAAGUUCAGGUGAAUUGCCAAGAAGGUCAUAAUCUAGUAGUAAGGGUAAACACUGUAAUUUUGUGGGAUUUGAAAAGCCUAGGAAUAUGCAUAAUGCAGAAUGAGAGGAAAAUUUGUCUCUGUGAACAUUUAAAGUGUGCACAUAGCAAAAAUAUCCAAAAACAUGAACGUGAUUACAAGUAGGGUUUUCCAGAAAAGAAGGUCAGAAGGGGUUUUGUAAUUGAGAGAGGGGAAUGGUGAACAAUUAAUUAAAUAAGUAGCAGUAAGUAUGCAUUUACUCCAAAAGAAAAUACGUAAAUGUACAUGAAAACGAAAACAUCAACCCAUAAUAAUAGAUGAGAAUGCUUUCAUUCAAUUCACUAUUUCGCUGUGAUGUCUUAACAUAAGUUCGCUCAAGAAGGAUGCAAUGAUCAAGAAAAAAAUUUCAUGUAAAGGAAUUCUCGACCAUUAUCACAGCGAACAUUUUAGAUAAAACAAUUAAAUUGUAUGUGCGCCAUUUUAAUAAAGGCAGCAAGAGGUAAACCCAAAUGUAUGAGAUAAACCCAAAUAAAACUUGAGAAAUCCACAAUUAUAAUAAUGGAAUGUGCACCAAUUGUAGAGGGCAUAGAAUAUCCACGCCAAAUAUCGCAAUAAAUACGAUUAAAAAUAAAAGUAAUUUUAUUCUCAAUCAAUUUAAAAGGAAUGCGUAUAUGUUUGCCUGAGAUUCAAAUAUCAUAAUGUUUAAUGUUAUUCAAUGUACACAGAUUUUGGAAUGUAAGAAUUUGAAGGAUGCCGUAAGCGGAGAUGCCAUAGAUCGGGAUUGGGAGUAGGCUUGAGUUUAUUGAGAAAAAGGCUUGAGUUUAUUGAGGCCUCCACAUUCUUCACCCAAUCCAAUUAGCUUCCACACUUGUUGGUCCUCGAAAAGUCAAAAGAAGGGAGAAAAAUUGACGACAUAAUUGGACAUUCUAGUAAGUUGGCUUGCAUAAAUUAAAUUGUAUUGAAGCCAGAAACAAAAAGCACAUUAGAAACGAUAAACAAGGAAAAAGGAGAACUUGUUCUGUAUGAGUAACCUAGUCUAUGGCACCUGUGGGCAAGUGAUUGAGAAUGAGGAGAUGUGUCUCUGGGCAAGUUGGAAAUACAAGAAAUAUGGGAAAAAGCCCUAGCGUCAAUAACCCAUUGUAUAUCGACGGUGAUAGAUUCAGGAUUGUUGUUGAGCUAAGACGAUCGUUGACUAUCAAUUAAGGUUGUUCAUUUAUAUUUAAUUAAAUAAUAUUAAAUAUACUUCAAUCAAUAUAUAAAUACACUAAAAUGUAAUUGUGCUAGAAGAACUAGGUAGGGACUUUCAUUUCGGUUGAAAAAAUCUUUCUAUAAUUUGUACAAAAAUUAAGCAUAAAUCACCGAUUAAAUAUAAAUUAAACUUAAUUUUAAACUACGAUCAAUUUUAAAUUUCCAAUUUUCAACACCAAAUUAUCAUUUAUCACAAAUUCACAAAUUCUCCAAUGUUCAUAAAUUAUAAAUCAUCAUUCAUUACAGUUCAUAUAUAAGAGAGCUCACAGACUCACAGUCACCGUGUCACAGACGCCAGCGGCAAACAGUGGCGGUUCAACGGAGGGUUCGACGGAGGCUCACAGUCACUAAAGGUUGACAAUCACGGUUGGACCACAGUUGGCUAAGGCGGGACUGUAGGGAGGAGAUACAAGAGAUAGGGUUUGUUUGCA
rnacentral:lncRNA from 1 species